rnacentral:rRNA from 1 species
AUUGAACGCUGGCGGCAUGCCUUACACAUGCAAGUCGAACGGUAACGCGGGGCAACCUGGCGACGAGUGGCGAACGGGUGAGUAAUGCAUCGGAACGUGCCUGGUAGUGGGGGAUAACUGCUCGAAAGAGCAGCUAAUACCGCAUACGACCUGAGGGUGAAAGGGGGGGAUCGCAAGACCUCUCGCUAUCAGAGCGGCCGAUGUCGGAUUAGCUAGUUGGUGGGGUAAAGGCCCACCAAGGCAACGAUCCGUAGCUGGUCUGAGAGGACGACCAGCCACACUGGGACUGAGACACGGCCCAGACUCCUACGGGAGGCAGCAGUGGGGAAUUUUGGACAAUGGACGCAAGUCUGAUCCAGCCAUGCCGCGUGCGGGAAGAAGGCCUUCGGGUUGUAAACCGCUUUUGUCAGGGAAGAAAUCUUCUGAGUUAAUACCUCGGGAGGAUGACGGUACCUGAAGAAUAAGCACCGGCUAACUACGUGCCAGCCGCCGCCGUAAUAC